GCAUGACCAAAUUGUCAAGCUGGCUUUGCCACUGCAAGGGGGGCUAUAUUUGGAAUGGCCUGAGUGUUAGUGAAUAUGGUGGGCUUAUAGGUGGGGCUUAUACUCGGGUGGGCUUUAAUAUUCGGAGCUUUACAGUAGUCUAAUUAACCCAUCGAGCGCCAGCACUCUCCUCUUGAUCAGUAAAAUCAUCUGGUGUUAGACAGUAAAAAAUAAAGUAAGUUGGAUUGGGCGCAAUGCAACUCAAUGGGUUAACGUAUGAAAAUUUAAAUAUGGCCAGGGUGUUUAUUAGAU